AUUAUUCCACGGUUUGGUCAUUUUGUAACGCUGUAGUCUCAACUUCCGUUUACUGAUCGUGAAUCAGAUUUGGGAUAUCUGUUUACUGUCACCACUAUCGAUGAGAAAUCGUACAYMCUGAUUCAGAGUCUGUUUUCUGKCGGAAACCCCUCCACSCUKCACGUUCACCAUGCCAACAGCGUCCGGUCGGUGAGAACACAAACAAGAUGGCYACGAAGAUUUAACAGAGGAAAUAUUUUUAUUCGGUUAACAGGAGAGAGAUCUAACUGCCAUCCUGGAAGUCAUCCACCGCCCUGUCCCUCUGUCAUUUGACUGGACUGUUGUGAAUACUUUCUCUACCAUCAUGUCUACCGCUGCAGUAGCAGACAGAGGUUCCGUCCGUCCAGUCAGGGGCCCGGCGACGGCAUGGAGACAGACAAGCCCCCAGUCGCUAAGGAGAUCGGUGUCGUGGAUACGCCUCUGUCUUCGGUGCACUACUUAAGGUAUCUAGUCCCAAACACAGUCCCAAGACGGCGCACCCUGCCCUCGCCAGCCUCCAGCAGAGCCCAGAGCCAGUCCCAGAGACACCCCGUCUUGCCCCCGGUCCCCGGCGUGCUCCACCU